AGAUGACUCAUUCCAGAAACAAUUCAGACUGCCUACUCCUCUGUGUGCUCAUCCUGUCCACCUAGAGCCCACACCCUUCUCUUCUGGAAUCUUUGACACACCUGUCCCCUCCAGCGCACCAGACAGGGGACAAAUCUUUACUCACGACCCCAAGGCCUACAGUCACAUGCUUCUCUCAAUGGUUAUUAAGCCGUGUGACCUCAAGAUUUGAGUAAAGAAAAAGCAAGAGGGACCUGCUAAGGGCAAGAGCUGUAGGAACCAGGAUGCAAAAGACCUCUAGGAACAGCAGAGGAUACUGUCUGAAAUAUAAGGUAAAAGAAAUUUCCAAACCCUGGAAUAAAUAUUAGCCAGCAGAAUUUGCUCCUGAGUACCCAGCGCCCUGUGGCAUCUCUGUCAGGUUAUUUGCUCAUGGGUACAAGAAUCAGAUCCUGAGCUCACAUACUGGAAUACCAUACCAGAUACCUGGGAAGACAGCUGUGCACUGAGACGCUAUGCUAGACACCUGGGAAGACAGCUGUGCACUGGGAUGCCAUGCUAGACACCUGGGAAGACA